UCCAGCUGGAAAUGGUGGGUGUUUACUUCUGGCCUUUGUUGAUGCUAGACAUGCGCAACCUGCUCUCCGCCCUGACACUGGCCUGACCCACAAUGCUGUCAAACCCUGCAUGGCUUUGCCAAACCUGCAGGGGGGACAGAAGGAACACCUGAACUGGUGCUGGGUGAUGGGAAUCUGACGUCCGCAGGCUGACCAGCCUACGAGCUGUGCGCCAACGAUCUUCUGGUCGGCGGAGAGCCGAAGACCAUCUUGCCAGCAGGAAGGCGGGGCAUCACAACACCUGUGGCCUGCAGGCUCUGCAGGAAAAGCAGCUGAUAUCCGCGAGGGAAGAGCAAGCUAACGACAAUGCUGCUGUUGCCAGGGACGUAGACCCAUUAAGGACUACUCGUUGGGCUUCCUUGUGGUGAUGUCACUUCCAUGAGGGCGAAGAAAUGGUAGCUCUACUAGCUUUGCUCGAGUUUCUGUUGUGAAGAUCCUGAAAAAGGACGAGUUGAACCUGGAGGGAUCAACAGGAGAGAGGGGAAGGCCGAAGGAGGAAGCAAGCAACUUCCCUAUCAGACGAGGAAAACCCCUUGAAAUCACCGGAGAAGAAAUCAGCGUCCAUGGCCGAUUUUGGGUGGUGACUACCGCACAUGAAGGAGAGAAAAUAGCAACACAGCAGCAUUGGUGAGAAUAUUUAAAACAACUAAAAAGGUAUAAAUUCUAUUAAAGACUCAUUGAGCUAGAAUUUCAAAGCUUUGAAAUGAGCUAGAUACAGCUUAAUAUCGGCAGCUACAAGAAGAGGGAAAUCAAGCAAUUUCCUAUAGCAAUAGAAGGUUUGGAGUGACUUGAGAACAGAACUAAAUAAGGAGAGAUUUGGACAAUAAACAGAAAUUGGAGCCAGACAAAACAAUGACAAUUGUGAAGAAGAGGAGAGAACUAUUUUGGAAUACUCGAGAGAAAGUGAAAUAUAGAAAAGCAAAUAUCGGACUUUUUGGAGGAAAAAGAAAAACCCUAUACGAAAGAAGAGUAACAGCGCCAUCUAGUGGAGAAAGAAAUAAGAAUUAAAUAACAGUAUAUAAUAUUGUUGAUUCAAUCUGGAAAAAUAUUUUGUUUUUUGUGAUCUCUGAAAUCAGAUUUAAAAAAUAGAAGGAGAACAUUGAAAGAAGAAAUAUAAAUAUAAACUUCACUGUGGUGAGAUAAAAUAUUGUUAUGAACUAUUGGUAAUACUUUGAAAUUAUCAAUGUUAUAAAUAGAUGACAUAAUAUUAUAUAAGAAUUAAAAUUAAGGAUUUAU